rnacentral:lncRNA from 1 species
UUUUUUUUUUUUUUUUGUAUAUAGGCAGAAGUUGGUUCAAGCUUGAAUUAACAGUUAUAUCUUUUCAAAUUCCAUGUUUGUAGAUAAUAACGAUGCCUCAUACAACAUUCACUAUCUAGCUAAGAAUGUUGGUAGUGAAGUCCUGCUAAAUUGAUGAAGAACGUCCUCACAACAACAACAACAAAAAACUAGGUAACCAUACUCUAUCCCUUUUUUUUUCCUUGUAUUAUAAUUCUGUUGUCAUAUAAAUUUGCUUCAUGUAUUUCAAUAUUUUUCUUUCCUUGCCUAGGAUGCUUCCUUAACAAUCAACAAAUACUGGACAAAAGCUUUUAGCGUUGAAGCAAACAUUUUUUGCCUGUUUUGGCACUCUUUAUAUCUUCAAAAAACGAUCUCUCAUACAAUUUUUAAUCUCCCGGCAAUGCGCUGGCAUAACUUUCUAGUCCAUCCUAAUUGGUGACCUGCAUCUUUUUUUAGUUGACCAUAGUGAAGUACACAAUUUUACAUGCGGUUUAGGGCCCAUUUGAUAACCAUUUCAUUUAGCUUUAGGGUACACAUGUUAAAUUAGAAGAAGAAUAUAACACUUAGUGCUUUUAGAUUUCUUAGUUGUUUUUGCUUUUAGUUAGCAAAUUGCAAUUGUAUCCAGAAGAACUUUGCAAGAAAAAAAGAAAUCAUGUACUCUGCCUUCUUACUUCAUUAGCUUAUUCUCAAUUUACAGAACAACUGAUUUGUAUUGGUGCUCCAAGGAACGUAUAUAUUGAAGAGUAACUCACUUCAUCCAUAACCAACAGAGCUAAGGGUACGUUCUUUAAUUAUAACAAUAUUUGAUUUGAGUUGGAAUCUUGGAUCUCAUUUAUGGCAUCUGGUUUGCUUUUAAAUCUGGUGCCAUGCAAGCUUGUACUUUUCAGUCAGUGUAUCGAUUAUUUAUCGUGUUUAUGUUAAAUCUGCAAUAGUGUACAUACGUGAUGAAAUGCUAUGAAAUACUUGAGCUAAUAGUAGCAGCUCAGCAUCCUUCGAACAUUGUUAUCUUUUCUCCUCCACUACCAAACAAAGACAAUUACUCUGAGCCCUUCAAUCUAAGAUACUAAUUUGGUGCAUACAUUUGUCUAAUGAAACCAAGUCCACACCUGGUUCACUAACAACAAAGUAACACUAGCAGCUACAUAACACUAGCCUUAUGGAAUUCAAGCAAAUAAACACAAACAAAUUUCUUGUGUUCCAAGUUGUAGGAUCAAAACCAAAUCUCAUUUAGCUCCGACAUUCCCUUCUAAAUGGAUUAUGCUUUGACUCCAAGCAAUCCUCUCAGAUAAACAAAUUUGUGUUUAGGCAGAGUUUUGUUGAAAAUAUCUACAGUCUGAUCUUUAGACUUGCAGUACAACAACUCAAUUGUGUUUUCCAGCAAUGCCUCUACGAUGAAAUGAAAUUUCUUUUAAUGUGUUCUGUCUUUUGACGGAACACAUGGUUUUUAGUCUUGGUUAUUGUAGAGUUGUUGUCACACAUGAACGAUGUGGCAUCCAAUUGCAUUUCCCGAAAAUCCUUCAGAACAAAUCUUAGGCAUAUAGCUUGGAAUGUUGCCUCAGCAACACUCACAUACUCAUCUUCUGCUAUGGACAGUGCAAAACUUUGUGGCUUGACUGAAGCCUAAGAAAAUAUCCCAUAUCCAAAUGUGAAGGCAUAGCCUAAGGUACUUCUCAUAUCAUCCUCACUUCCACCCCAGUCACUAUUACAAAAGCCAGUUAGAUCUGCAUUUUCACUUUAUAUACUUGAGUCCGCAUUUUCACAUUAUAUACUUGAGUUCAAAAUCCAAGGUUCAUGAGAUGUAUCUGAGGACCCUUUUUGCAAUUUCUAUGUAAAUCUUUGUUAUUCCAUGUGAAUCUUUCUCAUCGGCAGCUUUAGUUCCGUUAUUUUUACAAUUUUUCAUUUGUAAUCAAUGGGGUAGCAACUGACUUGCAUCAUUUCCGUCCAAAUUUCUCAAGUAAGGUCUGUGCAUAUUUUUGCUGAUGUAUGAAAAUACCAUUGGAUUCUGGAAUCACUCCAAUUCCCAGAAAAUGAUGAAGAAAUCCCAAAUUAAUCAUUUCAUAAUGCUUCAUCAUAUCCUCCAUGAGUUCAGAAAUCAUAGCUUCAUUGCUUCCAGCAUGAGUUCAGAAAUCAUAGCUUCAUUGCUUCCAGUGAACACCACAUCAUCAACACAGAUAAACACAAUUAGCUUUUCUGAGCCUUUUCCCGUCUUUGUAUAAAUUGUUGCCUCACUUGAACUUUUGCUGAAACCUCUCUUGCUGAAGUGGUUGUCAAUUUCAAUGUACCAAGACCUUGGUGCUCACUUCAGUCCAUACAGUGCCUGCCUUAAUUUGAACACCUUAUCAUCUUUAUUUGGAACCACAAAACCUUAUUCAAGUAUGCUAUUGAGAAAAGCUGAAUUUACAUCCAACAUAUACAAUUUCCGACCUUUAUGUGUGGCCAAAGCAAUUAAAGUCCUAAUAGUGUCCAACCUUGCCAUUAGAGCAAAGGUUUCAUUGAAAUUCACUCCAAGUUGUUGGAAAUAACCCUUAGCAACAAGUUUUACCUUGUUCUUUUGUACGAAGCCAUCUAGAUUCAAUUUGGUCUUAUAGACGCAUUUCACACCUAUCACUACUUUGUCCAUUGGUCUAUUCACAAGUUUCCAAGUAGAGUUUUUCUCAAUCAUACAAUUCCAUCACUCAUUGCCUUCUGCCAAGAUUGGUCAUUCUCAGCUUCUUCAAAGCUUUCAUGUUCCAUUAUACGAUAGUUGCAAGUUGCAUAAAUCUCACUCAACCUCCUCUUCACUCAACCUCCUCAUUCCUAAUGAAGUUGAUCCUAAGGGAGAGUCUUGCACUUCUAGGUCCUCUGGUGUUGAACUUAAAUGUUGGGGAGACUAAAUUUCAAACACAAUUUCACUCUCAGUUUGUGUUUCACAUUCCACUUCAUCAAGUCUAAGUGGUACUAAAAUGAUAUCUUCAAUCUUUUUAUCCCAAUUCCUAACAGCUUCUUUAUUAAAUAUGACAUCCCUCAAAAUAAUCACCUUGUAAGUUUCAAGAUUGAAAAUUCUAUACCCUUUUUCUUAACUCUUAUAUCCCACAUAGAUGCAUUUGGUGUUGUUGUCUUCAAGUUUGUGUCUCAAUUGUGUUGGCAUCUGUGCAUAACAAAUAGAACAUCCUUGGAUGCUUCACACCAAGUUUCCUGCCACUAAAUGCUUCAAAAGGAUUCAUUUUAUCAAGUGUUUUUAUUGGUAAUCUGUUGAGAAGAUAGACUGAAGUUUUAACUACCUCACUCCAAAAUGAAUGUGGCAUCUUCUUUUCAAGCAACAUGGAUGUUGCCAUUUCAAUCGCCGUCUAAUUUUUCCUUUCUAUAAUACCAUUAUGCUAUGAUGAGAAAGCAACAGUUAGUUGUUUCUGUAGUCCUAUAUCCUCACAUAACUCCUUGAACUCGAAUGAAGUAUAUUCCCCACCUCUACCACUUCUAAGCUUUUUCUUAUUUUUAGUCUACGUUGUAGUUCAACCAUUGUUCUGAACUUUUUGAAAACAAAAACGCUACUCUUACCACAUAAUUAAUAUUCGAAAAUUACAAUUAAAUGCCAAAAAGCUAGAGUUAGUUUCUAAUCUUAGACAAGGUUUUAUUCCAAAAGUAAUCUUUUUCAAGAAGUGGAAUAGAAUUUUCCGUUUUUCAUAGUACACUUUGAAAUGUACUGUGUUUAUUUAUAUGUUGUUGAAAGAUCAUAACUCAUAAGUCAAUUAGAAAAGCAAAGUAUAUCUUGAGCUCCUUUUUUUCUAAUUUAAUUUGUAUUCAUCAGCAGGCAUGGAUAUUGUUAGUCAAAUUGUCGGAAAAGUUGCCGAGUAUGCAGUUGAACCAGCUAUACGUCAAGUGGGUUACCUAGUUCACUGCAAAAGAAACCUUGAGAGUUUACAGACUCGAGUGAACGAAUUAAGUGCCGCUAGAGAGCGGCUACAGCGCGACGUUGUUGGAGCUGAAGACAAAGGUGAAAAAAUCCACACUGUCGUCCAGAACUGGCUGAAAAGCGUGGAUGAGAUCACCGAGAAGGCGAACGAAUUACGCAGGAGAUCAACAAAGAUGAGCUGUCUCCGUGGGGUUUGUCCAAACCCGGUGCUCCGUUACAAGCUAGGCAGGAGAUCAACAAAGUUGGAGCAGGCGGUUGUUGAGCUCUACGACAAAGGAAAUUUCGCUAGGCAGGACAUUUCGUACAAUGUCCGCCCACAAGAGGUAUCCGUGGUUUCGCACAAACAGUAUGAGGCAUUUGAUUCGAGGACUUCAACUGUAAAGAAAAUCAUGGAUGAACUGAGAAUUCCUAAUACCGACCUGAUUUUGGUGUAUGGUAUUGGAGGCGUGGGGAAGACCACACUGGUUGAAGAAGUCCUUAGGCAAGCUGUAAAAGAGAAUUUAUUUGCCGAUGUGGUUAUGGUAAGAAGUGUGCAAAAGCCGGACCUUGAAGGACUUCAAAAAGAAAUUGCCAAAAAGUUAGGUAUGGAAGUUCGUGAUAGCGAUACUAUGUCAGAAAGAGCACCUCAUCUAUGUGACAAGAAAGUUCUUGUAAUUUUAGACAACAUUUUGGAAAGCAUUGACUUGCAGAGUGUUGGACUUCCUUGUCUGCCGACUUGUAGAAUACUGUUGACAUCCAGAACUCGAAAACUGCUAUCCUCAGAGCGGUCGCGAAAAGACUUUGAGCUUCGAGUUUUAAACGAGGAAGAAGCUUGGCGUUUAUUUGAGACGAAAGCAGGUGAUGUUGUUAAAAAUCCCGACAUACGAACUGUGGCAACUGAUGUAGCCAAAAAAUGUGGAGGUUUGCCACUUUUGGUUGUCACAGUCGCAAGCUCUUUAAGAAAUAGAAGUACUUUACCACUAUGGAAGGAUGCCUUGAGAAGCCUAGAAGUGUUCGACAACGAAGACCAAAAGAAAGCAUACUCGGCUUUAGAGUGGAGUUACAGUCAAUUGGAUGAUCGAAAGCUUAAGCCAUUAUUCUUGAUCUGUGGAAUUUUGGUAAAUCAUUUUGGAGAUGCUUCUCUGACAGACUUGUUGAAAUAUACAAUUGGUUUGGGUUUGUUUAAGGACAUUGAUUCAGUGGAGUACUCACAAUAUGCAUUGCACAAGCGGAUUGAAGAGCUUAAAGAUUCUUGUCUGUUACUCGACUCCGAGGACAAUACAUCAAUCACAAUGCAUGAUUUGUUACGUGAUUUUGCCAUCUCGAUUGCAUCAAAAGACCAACGUGCCUUACUAAGAGCAGAUGGAGAUGAGUUGAAGGAAUGGCCAAACAAUAAGGAGUUUUCUGAAAAUUGCACAAUGAUCUCUUUGUCUUGCGAAAACAUCCCUAGGCUUCCUGAAGUUUUGAAAUGCCAACAACUGGAGUUUUUUCAUUUGUACUUUAAUGGUGACUUGCUUGAAAUCCCAGGUAACUUCUUUGAGGAGAUGAAAGAGCUUAAAGUUAUGGAUUUAACCAAAGCGCGUAUUUCGUCGCUGCCUCCAUCUCUUCAUCUCCUACAAAAUCUUCGGACAUUGUGUUUGGAUGUUUGCGUGUUGGGAGACGUAGCUCUAGUCGGACAGCUAUCGCAACUAGAAAUUCUCAGCUUUAUAUAUUCCAAGUUUAAAGAGUUGCCUGAAGAAAUAGGGAAAUUGACUCGUCUUCGACUGCUGGAUUUAAGCGGCUGCUCUGAACUCGAAGUGAUUUCACCUAAUGUUAUAUCACGUUUGACAAGUCUAGAAGACUUGAGAAUGAAAGAGAGCUUCAACGGAUGGGUGCCCGAAGGAGUAAGCGGAGAAAGAAGUAAUGCUAGCCUUUCGGAACUGAAGGACUUGCCUCGUUUAGCUGCAUUAAGCAUACAUGUUCCAGAUGCUGGCAGUAUUCCGACUGACUUGUUCACUGACAAGUUAAAAAGAUACCAAAUAUUAAUCGGCACUUUUUAUUGGGAAUGGAUAGGUGUGGAUGAAACCCUCAACACAUUGAAGCUAAACCUCCCUACUGGCUGUGAAUUGGACCGUGGUCUAGAAAUGUUGUUGAAGAGAUCAUGUGAAGAUUUGUAUUUGGAUGGGUCGAACGGAGCUGAUAAUGUUGUGUACCACUCAUGUAGUGAAGAUUUUCAAAAACUCAAGCAUCUCCAUGUCACAGGCAAUGCCCAAUUUACACAUAUCAUUACUGAGGAGGUAUGCCACUGGUGUCAUUCUUUCCCAUUUACACAUAUCAUUAGUGAAGAUUUAUUUAAUUUUUUUUAUUCGAGGGAUACGAUUUACAAAGAAAAAUGAAACAACCACCAUAGAACUCCUAGAUUUUGUGUGGCUCUAUUUACAUAUGUUUGAUCAUUUGAAGUGGUUCAGUUUUAUCUAAGUACGUAUCAAGAAAUAUCACCGUUGGUAUAAUUUUUUUUAUCUAAACAUACCAUUUGACUAGAUAAUAACAAUUAAUGUGAAUUCUCUUCUCUUAAAAAUGGAAUGUACAAAUACUGCAGGUUGUGUUGCCCAACUUAACAAGCUUGAUGGCGUGUCAUUGUAAUAGUUUAACUUUUGCGUUAUCGUCUUCCAUGGCUAGAAAUCUUGUACAACUUCGAAAACUUAAGAUAACCAGAUGUGAAUCAAUGGAAGAGAUAGUUUCGACAAAAGAAUACGGUGAAGAAAAAACAGAUGGCAUGUUUUGUAAGCUACAACAUCUGGAGCUAGGAGAUCUUCCAAAACUCUCUAGAUUCUGCUCAGCAAGCUGCGAUGUCCAGUUUCCGUCUUUGGAGAGUUUGGAAAUUCAUAAUUGUGAAGAACUGAAGGGAUUUGUCUUUGAUCCUAAACCUGAGACCGAAGAAGUAUACUUUCUUUUUGACGACAAGGUAAAACUAUUAUUUGAGUAUUUGAAGUGGUUCAGUUUUAUCUAGUACAUAUCAAGAAAUAUCUAUUGGUACAAUUUUUUUUAUCUAAAGAUACCAUUUGACUAGAUAAUAAGAAUUAAUGUGAAUUCUCUUCUCUUAAAAAUGGAAUGUACAAAUACUGCAGGUUGUGUUGCCCAACUUAACAAGCCUGGAGGUGCAUGGUUGUCAUCUUUUAACUUUUGUGUUAUCGUCUUCCAUGGCUAGAAAUCUUGUACAACUUCAAAAACUUGAGAUAACCAUAUGUGUAUCAAUGGAAGAGAUAGUUUCGACAAAAGAAAAUGGUGAAGAAAAAACAGAUGUCAUGUUUUGUAAGCUACAACAUUUGGAGCUAGAAUAUCUUCCAAAACUCUCUAGAUUCUGCUCAGCAAGCUGUAAUGUCCAGUUUCCGUCUUUGGAGAGUUUGAAACUUUUUGAGUGUGGAGAACUGAAGGGAUUUGUCUUUGAUCCUAAACCUGAGACUGAAGAAGUAUACUUUCUUUUUGACGACAAGGUAAAACUAUUAUACCAUUGUAUCUCUUUUAUAGAUCAUUAUCUGAUGUCUAAUAUAUUCAGUUCGACAAAGAAAGAAUUUAACAAUUUCAUAAUUCGAAUACAGGUAGGCUUUCCAAAGUUGGAGAAAUUGUCCAUCUGCGGGCUAUCUAUUUCGACUACAGUAUGGCACAACAAACUUGAUCCAGGCUCUUUCUACAAACUUAGAGAUGUUGACGUUCAUCUCUGCGGUAGACUAAUAAGCAUCAUUACACCUAGUAUUGCAGGGAGAUUGAAUGCUUUAAGAAGAUUAUCGAUAAGUGGGUGCAAUCGUUUAGAGGUGGUUUUUGAGAUCAAAGAAACACCAGACACGUCUACGACUCAGUUGAAAAUGUCUGGUUGUGAAAAUCUAGAUUCAGUAUUGAUAAACGAGUGUGAGAAAUUGAAAUAUAUUUUUCCAUGCUCAAUGGCUAGAGGUCUUCAGCAACUACGAGUCCUGAGAGUGGAUGGUUGUGAUGGAAUGGAGGAAAUCGUUUCCAAGGAAGAGGGACUAGAAAUGAUGCCUAAGUUUGUGUUUCCAAAAGCAACAAAUAUUGAAUUUGAAUAUCUAACCCAACUUAAGAGCUUCUAUCCAGGAAUCCAUGCUUCCGAAUGGCCGCUGCUCGAAAAAGUGACGGUGAAGGGAUGCGGGAAAUUGGAUAUUUUUGCCACUGAAAUUUCAAGUUUCCAGAAGCAUGAGUUUGGCGGUCUUUACACUCCAAUUAAACACUCUCUCUUCUUAAUUGACAAGGUAAAAAUACAUUACACAAUUUUCUUAAACAAAAGUUAGCCUUUCAAGCUACUUCAUAGAAGAAAAAAAUUCUCCUUGUGUUAUUAUUUUUGUUGCCGUUUAUCAUUCUUGCGUUGGUAAUAUUUCAGGAUGUAUCAUUCCCCAACUUGGAAACGAUGGCCUUAGACAGAGACAUGGAGAUAUGGUGCGGUCCAUCCACAUCACAGUUGUUUAGGAAACUAAAAUCGUUGACGUUUGCGCGGGGCCAGAAAGUUUCUUUAUUUGAGAAUAAUGUAAAUCCAGAUGCGUCCUUCCCACAUAUAAGUGUUUUGAAGCUUUACGGAAUGUGGAAGUUGAUGUAUCUAGGCAACGAGAAUUUCCCAGGGGCAGGCCCAGUUUUUCCAAACUUGGAAGUUCUACGAGUGAUGGAAUGUCCAGAAUUGAAGGAGAUAGGGUCAUCUGCUAUUCCCUUCCAGAAUUUAACAACUUUGGAAGUAUAUGGAUGUCACAGCUUGAAAUAUUUAGCAACAUAUACGAUAGCCAAAACUUUAAAGCGGCUAAGAAAAAUGACGGUUUGGCGUUGUGAAAGAAUGACAGAAAUAGGGGCAACGACAUCAGAUGGAGAUGAUGCAGGAAAUGACGGUGAGAUUUCUUUUUGCCAGUUGCAAAGUUUGGACCUUUGCCGUCUACCAAGUCUGCAAGAUUUCUUCUCUGGAAAUUGCAUUGUCAAAUUCCCAUCCUUGAAAACUGUAAAUAUAUAUGAAUGCCCUAAGUUGAAGAUCAACAGCUCUGAGUGGAAGAGUUCCCCAGAACUACAAGGAGUGCAUUUAACAGAGAAUGAACCAGAAUCUUAUUGGUGGCGUUUGUGAUGGUUUUUACUGUAAAUAUAUAUGAAUGCCCUAAGUUGAUGAUUUUUACUGUAGUGUUGGUGAUGGUGAUGAUGUUAAUGAUGACGGAAGCUAUGAUGAUUCUGACAAAAAGAGCGAAGGUGGUGGUCGUGGUGGUAGUCAUGGCAAAACUACACAACAUAUAUAAAGAAUUAACAACUUUGCUGCAUAGUUAGUUCUCUUGUUAACAUGUUUGUUAUUUCUGUGUGUAAUGGCUUUGGGUUUUAAUGAAGACAAUUUUCUGCCCAUUUUAAAUUAAAUUUUGAAUAAUUUAAAAUAAUUUGUUGCUUAUGAUUUUUAGUUUUCAUAAGCUGGUGUACCCGCACGUUGUUGCGGUGUUUGAAACAUUGUUGAAGGUGUAGAAAGUUCUAAAUAUGUAUGUGCCUAAGAGUAGUGUGUAUAUUGAUGGCCUCCAAGAACAUCUUGACGCAACAUUCUCUCCGCCAAUUUCAUCUUCAAAAUGAAAAAAAAUUAAAUUAAUCACAAAAUUAAGGUGCUUUUAGAGACAUAAACUUAAGAACACAAAAAACUAAAACCUUUCGAAAGCACAUAUUCUCAAUCAUAUAUCAAAAUUUAAUUCAACCCCUUUUGACCAUUCUUUUUUUAGGUCCAAGUACUAUCAGUGUGAUCUAAGUAGUGUUGGUUCAUGGUACAACUAUUUGGGAAUAUAGAAACAUUUUGUAAAACAAAGAAGGCGUUCAGCAAAUACAUAAAAUUGAGUGUAAUCGGAAGUUGAAACACGAAAGAAAACAUAUGAAGAAAAACUCCUAAUUAGCAUUGAAAUUAUUGAAAGCUAAAGGGCAAACCAAAAUCUUCACCUUAACCUUGCUUUCUCCCAUUAGAAUUUUCUUUGCUUUCUCGCAUAACAUUCACAAUAGUAACACCGCCUGACAGUGCUAUGAUCACAAAAUGAUAAACAGCAUACUAAACGGAAGUGAUGGUUUGAAUAUGGAAUCAACGCAUACCUGAAAAGCUGAUUUAAAAUUGGUUAUGCUUUGCCCAUGCUCGUAACAUUUAUCAUUUACAAUCAGUAAAAUUUUCCUGAUAAAGGGAAAGCAAGGAGAGUAAGUUAAAGCAAAGUUGACAGACAAAACAGUUCGAUGCACAGAGCGACAGAGACAUAGAGAGAGAGAGAACUUACAUCAGCUGUGCUCUCAAAUACAUAUGGUAAUCUGCAUACGAAGAAGCAGUUCUAAAUCAUCCAUUCAGACCAUUAAAACAGUUAUAACAUCAUCUGCACCGGUGAAGCAAAUUCUAUGAAACGAAACUUCAAAUGAAAUGCAUAUAGAUUACCUUAAAUUUUGAUUCUAUGGUUUUGCAUUUGACUCCAACCAACAUGCAUGCUUAGAGGAUAUAUACCAUCAAGUAUAACAGUCAGUAGACGCUCAUACCACCACCAGCACAUACAAACACAAAAAUGCAAAUAGAAUUUUGAUGAGGCUCGGUAAUUAUGAAAUAUCACCUGUGUUUCGUUCUCAGCAACAUUGUCUUGUGAGGAAUAGCAACUUUUAUGGUUCCGCUCAAGAAUUUUGUUCAUACUGAUCAAAGCGGGAAAACAGUCAAACAUUUUAAAGUUAUAAAUUAGAGGUAAUAGAUAAAUAAAGAUAGAUGAAAUCAGAUUGAAUACAUCAACCGGUGUUAGGCUGUUUGGAUUUAUCUAUGCGUACAUCAGAUUGCAUACAAAGAAGUUUUGAAAACCGAAAACGAACCGACAGAACUGAAAAUGCCUGAUCUAAUCAAUUUCAGAUAUCACAAGAAUCCACGAUCACUGCAAAACCAACCCAAUGAUACAAUAACAAAACAAACACAGAUCAACAAUCCCAAAACUCAAAUUCUGACGCAAUCAAAUUAAUCCCCUGCCUAGCCUACUAAUUUCUCCAAAAUUAAAACCCUAAAUAAAAAAAUAAUGCCCAUAUCCCCAAUUCGUAAAUCCCUAAUUCAAAAGCCCGAUGUAACUCCCUAAUUCGUUUUAUAACUAAGAAAUUGCUUACCUUAAUGGCUUGAACGCCGGAGAUAGAGCAGAGAGGAUUGUGUUCGACGGCACGGCACGGCACGGUACGGUGCGCCGCGGUUCGUAUGGAAACAGCUCGUCGGAAUUCGAAGACCCAGACCCUAGCAGCUUAACACUUGAAAUUGAUUUGUUGGUUUCAAACUUCGAUUGUGUGGGAAUUCUCUUCGUUGAUAAGAGGGUUUGGGGUUUUAUGCGAUUUGUUUGUUUGAGGUUUAGAAUUUUUUUUGCGAAUUGUGAGCGACAGAGAUGAAUUUCACCUAUUUUUUUGUGAAAGGUGAGUGAAAAAGGAAAAGAACUCAAAAGAUAAAAAGAAAGAAACAAACAGAGAGAGAGAGAGAGGAAGAGAAAAAGAAAGAGUGAUGAAGAGGGGGCCGGUUGUAGAAAAGAAUGAGAAUGGAAGGUUUAAAAGAAAGAUGGUAGAGAUGGUUCUUUGGGGGAAAUUGUAAGAGAAGAUCAGGAUUGAAAUAAAAAAUAAAUAAAAGAUGAGUGUUAUGGAAAGGUGGGCACGGUCCGGUUCGGUCCGUUUCAUCCUCAAAAUAGAAUUGGAAUCGAAAAUUUUCAACGGUUUAGUUCGGUGUGAUUUCGUUUAAAUUUAUUACUAAAACCGUAUGGUUCGGUUCAUGACGGUUCUGGUUCAGUUCAUGCCGGUUUACGGUUCUAACCAAAAUUAUAUAUAUAUUUUUUCUAAUUUUCUACUUCUAAUACCAAACACAUAUUUCAACCACAAAUUCAAGUAAAUUUGAGUUUCCACUAAUAGAUCUACAAGAUUUGUUCUGCAUAUAUAUAUAUAUAUAUAUAUAUAUAUAUAUAUAUAAAGAUAGAACGGCUCAUAUCAAGACCAGAGUGUAGAUCUUAAACAACAAAGAAUGGAGAAAAAUAAUGUAGGGGGAGAAAAGUGAUAAAACAACAAAGGAGGGGAAGAGAAGUGAAGAAAAAUUUUGGGCUUAUGCACAUGGUCUUCUUGGAAAAAUGUCUUAUUUAUAUAAAAAUAAUAAUAAAACAAUAAUUUAUAUUAAAAGCGGUUCAGUUCGGUUCGGUUCAUUCGGUUCUUAAUAUUUCCUAACCGAAACCAUAACUGUUUGAAACGUUUCGGUUUUUGUUCUGGUUUUGACUUUUUUGGUCAACGCGGUUUUUUACGGUUUUUUUUUGUCACGGUUCGAUUCGGUUUUCCGGUUUGGCGGUUUUUAUGCCCACCCCUAGAAGAAUAGAGUGGUUGGAACCAUGGUAUAAAAUAUUGAUGAUAUCGGAAAUAUCGAUAGUCCAAAAACAUGGAAAUUUCAAUGGAAAUAUCGGGAUAUUAUCGAUAUCGAUAAAAAUUGAAUAAAAACCACAGAAAUGGUAAGAAACACUUGGAAAUUUUUAUUGAAACUUUGGAUAAUGUUUAUUUAGUCAAUUAUCUAUUAGUUUAUCAAAAAAAAUUAAAAGGAAAUUGACACACCCCGUCCCGAAGGAGGGCAUGCUGGCCGUCACGUGAGAGUGACGUAACCAUUUGCACAGUACGGAAGCUUUAAGAUACAAUUCCUAAGUUGAUACACCCGAAAGUGAGUCCUAAUUUUGUCCAAUCUGUCAGAACACCGUCGAAUUCCUCGUAGUCACCACACCUUUGUGAUUCAUGAACCUGGAGGGGCGCAAAACCAAAAUUGAGUGGGUCAGUAAAACAAUUCUUUUUCAAAUCCAAACAUUUCUCAAAACGUUGUAACCCCUCUCCGUAAAACCUGUAUACUUUCCCAGAAAUGUAAAAUAUAAAUAUACAUAUAUAUUCUCAAUACUUCAAUUCAUUAACUCAACAUUUUUCAGUACAAAUAUGCCAUGCCAUGUCUAAAUUCAACAGUAUAAUAUGAAUGCAUCAACAUAAAUCAGGUGAAAGAAAAAUAAUCAACCGGGGACCCUACAAUGGUCCUGUACGGUUGAAUCUAGAGCUCAAAAUAUGAUCUAACCGGAGUCACCAACUGUGACCUGUACGGCCAUGCCGGAGUCACCUAGUAUGACCUGUACGGCACUACACUGCACAUAAGUCGGAAUUACCUAAUGUAAUCUGUACGACUUAAUGGUGUAAUAAUAUGCUCUAGUGCUUUUCUCAUCAAUCAUCUGUGCACAUAAUCUAAGGUCACCUACCAGUCGGAACCCCUCUAAUGGUCUGUACGACUGGCAUGUCGGAACCACCCCCCCGGUGGUCUGUACGACUAGCAUCUACUUGGAUCCAAGGUGAGCGUACGAUGCGGUGAAUAAUAAUAAGCACUAAUACCAAGGUGCAGUUUAUGAGCUCAACAUAUCUCAACAUCAUCAUAACAGUAAUAAUACUCACCUGAUACUCACCUGUGUGUCCACAGCACCAUUUCAUAUAUAUGCAUCAUAUCUCAAUUCAUACUUUUCAUAUCAUUUCAUGCAUGGCAAUUCGAUUCACAUUUCUAUAUACCUUUCAUAUCAUUUCUAUGCAUGGCAUUUCAAAUCACAUUUUUCAUAUGAAUCUAUGCAUGGCAUUUGAAAGCAUACUUCCGUUAAAUUCAAUUUCUGGGAAAACGUCAAGUACAUAUAUAUACGGAAAACAAAACUGCCCACUCACCUGGAGUUCGUCCAACAACUCCCUAGCACCACACAUCAAGGCGUCACGACGAUCGCCGCCUAGAAUAGUAAUCAAAUCCAGGCUCAGAAUUCAUAUCGAUAAAAUAUAUAACUUAUAUAAAAUACGUCACUACGUAGUUCGAUUCGGAAGAUCCACCACUCAGAUUUUAAAUCCAUAACUUCCAGAGGUCCACAUUAUACCUCUAGGACAACAUCCUAAAAUUUCAUUACCAUCCAACGGUCGGAUCUCCGUCAAUUUCCAAAACUAAGUGACGGUUAACAUUUUUAUAUUAUGGACUUACAAUUCCAAUUCCGGAAGAUCCGUAACUCGGAUUCCUAAUCCAUAAGUUCCAAUAGUCCUUAAAUAUUACGUAUUGCAACGUAUCAAAGUUUGGUGACGAUCCAACGGUCGGAUCAUCAAUUCACAUUUUCACCAAAAACUAUAAAACGUUAUUCGAACACCUAACCAACAAUCCUUAAUAACUUUCUCAUACGGUGCUCAAAUUGGGUAUAUGAAUAUACCACGGUGAUCUACUCGACGUCACGGACGUCGACAUAUUUUUAAAAUAAUUUUAUUUUUAUUUUUAUUUUUUUACUGUAGCACCUUCUUCUUCCUUGGGUCGCCGGACUGGUUUUUCCGGCGGCCGUUUUUCCGGGCAGUUUUUUCAAAUUGCCAUAACUUUGUCAUUUCUCAACGAAAAUCAAGUGAUUCAAAAACGAAAGUUGUAGCCCUUGAAGAGACAAAGAGAAUGGUACCUUGCACAACACCUAGUUCGCCGUGGUUUGGCCGGAAACUGCCUCGAAAGCCUCGGAGGUCGCCGGAAACUGGGUAUUUUUCAAAUGAGUAUAACUUCUUCAAUACUCAACGAAAUUGAGUGAAACAAAAAGGAAAGUUGUAGUACUUGACGAGACGAAGAGAUUGAUACCUACCUCGACUCCUAACUCGCCGGGGAUUCGUCGGAAAAUGCCUCGAAAGCUCCGGCCAAAACUUUGAACUCGUCGAUCUCCGUGUUCUUUCGUCCAAAAACUUCCAACGAAGCACUCCGAGCUUCGUGGGAACCUCCUAGAGCUCCCUGUGAGCUUAGAUUUCCCUAAAACACAACAUAUUCAAAGAUCAUGAACAGUGCUCUUCACGGGAAGUUUUAAAACUACGUUUUCCGAAGUAGAACUUACCUGAAAUUGAUGUCUACGUGAUCGUGGAAGUUCCAGGAGUCCAAAUGUGGUCUUACCUUGGACGUUUGUUUAUGUUUUAGGUGGUUUUGGGUGAGGUUGAGCGUCGGAGAGGAAGAGAGAGAGAACUGAGAGUGAGAGAGAGUCGUGAGGGAAGAGAGAGAGAGACAGGGUACGGGAAAGAGGGAAAGAAUUAAGGGGUGUGAGAUCCUACCCAAUCCCCAACUACAAAAUUCUAACAUAAAUUUAAAUCUAAGUCUCCACUCUACUUACCAAAUUUUAGGAGCUUAGAUAUAACGAACGUAAAAAUUAUACCUUAGUCACGUAUUAGGGGCAUUUUCGUAAUUUCACGUCCUUGGAAUUAAAAAUUCCGGGACGGGCUGUGACAAUCUCCCCUCCUUAUAGAAUUUCGUCCCCGAAAUUCCAGCAACCAACUAAAUCAUCUAUACUCAUACAAUUUCCUCGGGUAAAUCUCUCUCAUCCGAUUCUCUUUCUCCAACAUAAUUUUCUACUGAAUGAUUUCCUUCACAAAGCUUUUACCACUUACUCUGUCUCAAUUCUCAGGACCUUCUUUUUCCAAUCCAAAGUCGUCCUUGGUUCCUUAUCAAGUCGAAUCCAAUUUAAUUCUCAAUAGUUGCACCAGAAUCCCAUGUGACGAGUCUGCCACCUAGUGACAACGCAUCGAAAUAUAAUGCAUUAUGCACCUUAGACAAUUUUGAAGGCAUCAUAAACUUAUAUGCAACUUCAUCGAUUCUUUUAAUGAUCAAAACGGUCUGAUGUGUUUAAGACUUAUCUUGUCUUUCUUUCUGAAUCUUACUAUUUCUGUUCAUGGUGAAAUUCCAAAAAUAUCAAACCAUUUACCUUACACACUCGAUUAGUGGCAUAUCCAUCUGUUGAUCUCUUUUGCCAUUCCUGGUUACUUCAGGUUAACUUAAAUCACCUGAAUACUUUGAGGAGACUCAUCCAUAGUCUCAGGGUCUACUAAAACUCCUUCGUGAUUGAAUCUUUCUUUUUUCCCCUUCUUUCCUUGCCUUGGUUAAUUCUUAAAUUUCCUCGUCAAAUGUUUAAGUUUCGAGUACGACCUUACCAAACAUGCCUAACUUGAAAUCUAACAAGUAGAGCUUCUUCUCGAUCUCCAGUUCUCAACUUUACUUCAGUUGAUUUCCGAUCCACAAGAAGAUAAUCUUGGCAAACGUACCAAUCAUUAAUUCUUACUAGAGUCUUCUCAUCAAGUGCUUCAGCUACAACAAUUCACGAUCACCCUGAUCGUACAAUCAUAAUCACUAAGUAAUUCAAUCCACCUUUGUUGCCUCAUAUUGAAAUCCUUCCGAGUAAACAAAUAUUGGAGACUCUUUUGAUUUGUAAAAUAUUGCAUUCUUAUCAACAUAGAAUGUCUCCAUAACUUCACAGCAAGGAUGGUAAUCGUGACUUCCAAAUCACCAGUAGGGUAAUUCAUCUCAUGAGAUUCCAUUUGUCGUGAAACGUAUGCAAUCACCCUAACAUUUGCAUCAACAUGCAUCCAAUACCAUUCAAGAAACAUCACUAAAAAUUUUAUGAUUACCACUAUUCUCUGGGAUUACUAAAAUACGUGCAUGAGUAAGGAAAUACUUCAGUUGUUGAAUCCUUUGCUCACAAUUUCCUUCCCAUUCAUACAUAACCUCUUUUCUCAACAGUCUCGUCAAUGACAAAGCAAUGACUGAAAAAAAAUUUUCACAACCAUCCAAGAUAGCCUGGUAAGCUAAGAAAUUCUAAAUCUCAAUUACGACUCGUGGUUGUUCCAAAUUCUCAAUUUCUGCUAUCUUUUAAGGAUUCACUUGAAUACCUUAAGAAUAUAUAACAAAUCUCAGAAUGCCACAUGAUUCAUCUAACUUUAGCAUUUGCUACUUAGCAUACAACCGACAUUCUUCCAAUCUUUGUUCCACCGACUUAAUACGUUUACAUGUUCUGCUCUGGCUCAGAAUAUGCCAGAAUAUCUUCAAUGAAAAUGAUAUCUAUUUAUCAAGGCAUUAUUGGAAUACUUCAUCCAAUAACUCAUAAAACAACAUGAGUAUCCAUAUAGCAUCACCAAACUUCAUAAAGACUAUAACGAGUCCAUAAAAAAACAAUCUUAGGAACAACGUUACUCAUAAUCUUCAAUUGAUAAUAAACAGACUUCAAGUCAAUCUUUGAAAAUAUACAAGCACCUUUGAACUGAUCAAAUGAGCAUCAAUACACCACAAUGGAUAACGGUUCUCAUUCGUUACCCGAUUCCAUUAUCUAUAAUCAAUGAACAAUCUCUAAGUCCAUUUCCUUUCUCACCAACAAACUGGUGCUCUUCAACAGUGUUGUACUAGAUUGAAUAAAACUUUUAUCAACCAAUUCUCUCAACUGAAUUUCCUAUUCCCUUAAUUCAUCCUGAACCAAUCUCCAAUAUAAAUUUAUACCUGGCAACAAAUCAAUAGUGAACCUCAUAUCUCUGCCUGAAGGAAAUCCAGGUAUACUUUCAAGGAAGACAUCAAGAAAGUCUAACCCCUUUUGACAUUAUUCACACUACUCCAAACAACAUCAUUUAGCACCACAUGAGCUAAGUAUUUUUGACAGCCUUUCGAAAACAAUUGCUUUGCUCUCACAGCAUAAAUAACGGCCUGACUCAAUCCAUUUUGCAUACUUACAAAAGUAAUCUCUGGUCAUCCAGAUCGAUGGAAAGUAACUGGUUUCCCGUAAUAUUCCAUCUAGUCACAACUAUAAAUAAUCAAUCUAAUGGAAUAAAAUUAACUGACCCAAUACAUACUUUAUUAUUACUGAACAUUCUAAAUAAGUACAACACUAACAUAAAAUAACAUACCGGUUUGCUUGCUUAACGAAUCCACGAAUGAGUUAUUAAUAUUACGGUCUGCAGCCCGCAAUACUGAUAAAUCAUCGUUGUCUCGAUAAGUAAGCAACAAUUCCCAAAGGUGUAAUACUAUCAUUUUUUUUUAAUUAGAAUACACAUAUACGCCUCUAUCACGUUCCAACAUUACUUUCUUUGGCAUCAUCGUCCAUACUCAGAAAUAUAUCAGCCGGAGUCAACUAGAAUGACCUGUACGGCUGAUUCUCCAGCUCAACCAUCUAUGCUAGCACAUUAGUCGGAGUCACUUAUAGUGACCUGUACGACUUACACAUCAAUUCCCCAGUAAAUACGUCGGCCGGAUCCACAUCUUGUGGUCCGUACAGCCGAGCCUAUAACUCACCAAUUUCUCAUGUGUCAGCCGGAUCCACCUCUUGUGGCCUGUACGGCUGAACAUAUAACUCAUCAAAUCUCUCGGUACUCAUGGUCAAUCCAACCAAACUACUAAGUCCAUAACUCUGCUGAAUUGACACUAUGAUAUCAUGGAAAAUUGUUGAGUACAACUGAUU